rnacentral:lncRNA from 1 species
UUUCUACUAAGUUUCGUACAAAAACUCUCACGGUAAGGUAGUCAUUAAAACAACCAAAGUUUAUGAAGAGUUUCAAGGCUAAACUACCUUCUCACUUUUCUUUCGUUUACAAACUUUUUGUACCAUGAAAUCAGUUUCAAAUCUCUCCAUUAUUGAAACCAAGAGUUCAUAAACAUCCACUGAGAAAUUUAAAGACCAUUGACAUCCAAAUUCUAGAAAUAAAACUCUCCAAAUCAGAUUUGACCAUUUGGCUAAGAGAAAACGAAAAGUUUUCCAGAUUCGAUGAGCGAAUUUUGUGACAUCAUUUGCAUAUCAAAAUGGUCUUAGAAUAUUACCAAAUUUUGUACAAUUAAACCUCCAUAUGAGGAUUACUCUUCUAUCAAAUUUCAUUUGAAAAUUCACACGGGAAGGUAGUUAACUAAACCAUCAAAGUUCAGGAAAUUUCCCAAGGUAAAACUGUCUUCUAGCUCUUCUUUCCUUUUUAAACAUUUUGUCCAAAGCAACCAACCCAAAUCUGGUUUAUUUGUGAAACAAAGUCCAAGGAACAUCUAAU